rnacentral:rRNA from 1 species
AGCCCGCGUACCAUUAGCUUGUUGGUAGGGUAAUGGCCUACCAAGGCAACGAUGGUUAGCUGGUGUGAGAGGAUGAUCAGCCACCCCGGAACUGACACACGGUCCAGACUCCUACGGGAGGCAGCAGUGAGGAAUUUUGCGCAAUGGGGGAAACCCUGACGCAGCAACGCCGCGUGAGUGAUGAAGGCUUUCGGGUCGUAAAGCUCUGUCAAGUGGGAAGAACCCACAUGGUGUUAAUUCCACCUUGUGCUGACGGUACCACUGAAGGAAGCCCCGGCUAACUCCGUGCCAGCAGCCGCGGUAAUACGGGGGGUGCAAGCGUUAUUCGGAAUUACUGGGCGUAAAGAGCGCGUAGGCGGUCUCUUAAGUCAGGUGUGAAAGCCCGGGGCUCAACCCCGGAAGUGCACUUGAAACUAAGGGACUUGAGUAUGGGAGAGGGAAGUGGAAUUCCUGGUGUAGCGGUGAAAUGCGUAGAUAUCAGGAGGAACAUCGGUGGCGAAGGCGACUUCCUGGACCAAUACUGACGCUGAGGCGCGAAGGCGUGGGGAGCAAACAGGAUUAGAUACCCUGGUAGUCCACGCAGUAAACGGUAACACUAGGUGUAGCGG